ACCAUUGAUCUGAUACUUUCUUUUCCACACCCUCUGUGUUUUACAUUUCUCCAUGUAGCCCAUAUCCCUUGAAUUAUUUCACUGUUCAUUAUGUUUGGGAUUUAAAAUCUAAAUAUUAUUCCUUACACAAUUUUUGUUUGUUGUCUGUUUUUUUACAUAAUGUUUAUACAUGUAUUAUUCCCCUUCGUUAAUUUGAAAAUAUCUGCACCAUUGCCCUGGCUAUGGUACCAAUUAUCAAUCUCAGUUUCAUGCCUAUAAUGUCUUGAUGAAAACAUGGAAUGUCUUUGCAUUUUGGGUGUUCUUUUAUUUGGUCUACUGCUUAUGAUGAGUGCUUGUGCAUGAAUUGAUUCCCCUCCAAAARGAAGGAAAGAAAGAAAACAAAAGAUCAUAGGGAAAGAGUGUGUUAUUUUCUCUUUAACCAUUGUACAAGGAUAAUUUGACUUGACAAACACUACAAGCAAAAUUCCAGUUGUGUUCAACUCUUGCUUAUGAUUGCAUGUGAUACUCACUAGUGCACAGUUUAUUCAUUUCUAUUCCCAAUGGUAAUUAAUCAUAUGUGACUUGGUGAUGGACUGUCAGAUUUCCAAUAAUGGUUACAGUGCUUCCAUGCGAAGGUUUUGUUGAUAUUAAAAUUUCUUAAGAUAAUUUAUAUGGAAGUUGAUGCGAUUGUAUGGUUUUUCACAUUUUACAGGAGCAAGUUGCUUCUCAGCAACUUACCAUGUAACCAUUCCUUUCCCUUUCAGAAAUGCUUAGACAUUUGGAGGAGGAGAAGGUAAUCUCCUAGGUAAGGUGAUGCAUUUUAACUUCAAUGCAGAAACACAGUGUAUCAAUGGCUAUGACCUAUGAGGUAGUGAAAAGCUUCUCAUCUGGUAAGAGAGAAGGUGGAGACUUUGUUGCAGCCUGUGUCUCACCGAAAGGAGAAUGGGUUUACUGUGUUGGAGAAGACAGGUAAUGUGGUGGUUACAUACAGUGAAGACUGCACAAUGAAAAUAUGGAAGGCGUGAACCUGGUUCUCUGAUUCCCCAAACUUGAUCCUCUUCUGCAAAACUAAGUAUAGGCUCAUUUUUACUAUACAUUUUUAUUAUAACCAUGGGGCUUUGCUUGUUAAUGGAGAGCCAAUGGCCAACCACUAUGCACUUUCUGAAGUUUAGGAAAGAGUUUCUAUUGRCUGCACCAUAUAGAGAGGUAGGCUGGUAAUUUGCCUUCAUUGAAUUGGUAGAAAAGCAGAGCUUUUGAACAUAUUAUAUCAUAUGUUUGGAAGGGCCAUUUCCAUGAGGAACCAGUCACAACAAAAACCAAAUGCCAUCAGAAUCAGCAAUCUGAAUUCUGACAUAGCAACCAAAAAGACUGGAUGAUUGGCAAGCCCAAUACAUUACUUUAUAUAUUAAAGUUAUCAACUAUCUUAAGUCAUUGCUUUGAACUAUAUUGAACUGUGAUGUAAUCCAGAAAUCGUGUUGCUUUGAGCGUCAGGCUGUCAGCACUCUCAAACCUUAGUGGAUUGUGGGAUCCAUCAUCCAUGGCAGAUAUGGGACUAGAGUGGAUGCCUAUCCAGAAUUUAUUUGGCAAUGUUACAAGUUAGAACAAUUCGCGAUUGUGAGUCGUGACCAUGCAUUAUAUUGAGCAGGUUUGCAUAAAUAUUUUUGUCCCGUAGAGUAUGUAAACUUGUAAGCGUCUAAUAUAGUUUCCAGAUCCAACCUCUUUUCUAAAAGCGACGCCUGCUAUUUGUUUAUUCUUUAAUCAUCAGCACUCAGCAGUGAAGCUGUUUUUGCUUAGACGCUAAUGUUUAAAUUUAGAGUUUCUUCUUGCAUGUUGGAGCCUGAAUCAUGCCACUUUAUUUAUUUUGGAU